rnacentral:rRNA from 1 species
GGGGAAUAUUGCGCAAUGGAGAAGAACUCUGACGCAGCAAUACCGCGUGAGCGAAGAAGGUCUUCGGAUCGUAAAGCUCUGUUAUCAGGGAAGAAGAAAAUGACGGUACCUGAUGAGCAAGUCCCGGCUAACUACGUGCCAGCAGCCGCGGUAAUACGUAGGGGACAAGCGUUGUCCGGAAUCACUGGGCGUAAAGGGCGCGCAGGCGGUGAUUUAAGCAGGAUGUGAAAGGCUACGGCUCAACCGUAGACAUGCACCCUGAACUGGGUCACUUGAGUAUUGGAGAGGCAGGCAGAAUUCCUGGUGUAGCGGUGAAAUGCGUAGAUAUCAGGAGGAAUACCGGAGGCGAAGGCGGCCUGCUGGACAAAUACUGACGCUGAGGCGCGAAAGCGUGGGGAGCAAAC